AUUGAACGCUGGCGGCAGGCCUAACACAUGCAAGUCGAACGGUAACAGGAAACAGCUUGCUGUUUCGCUGACGAGUGGCGUACGGGUGAGUAAUGUCUGGGAAACUGCCUGAUGGAGGGGGAUAACUACUGGAAACGGUAGCUAAUACCGCAUAACGUCGCAAGACCAAAGAGGGGGACCUUCGGGCCUCUUGCCAUCGGAUGUGCCCAGAUGGGAUUAGCUAGUAGGUGGGGUAACGGCUCACCUAGGCGACGAUCCCUAGCUGGUCUGAGAGGAUGACCAGCCACACUGGAACUGAGACACGGUCCAGACUCCUACGGGAGGCAGCAGUGGGGAAUAUUGCACAAUGGGCGCAAGCCUGAUGCAGCCAUGCCGCGUGUAUGAAGAAGGCCUUCGGGUUGUAAAGUACUUUAAGCGGGGAGGAAGGGAGUAAAGUUAAUACCUUUACUCAUUGACGUUACCCGCAGAAGAAGCACCGGCUAACUCCGUG
rnacentral:rRNA from 1 species